GGCUAGCUGACGAGUCCCAAAUGGGACGAAACGUAACUCCUGGAU
rfam:Schistosoma haematobium scaffold229_8, whole genome shotgun sequence.